GUCUGUGUGCAGGGAGUGAGAGGGUCCAUCGGAGAGAAGGGAGCUGCUGGUCUCGAUGGUGAGGAGGGCCAAACUGGACCAAUGGGACCUCCUGGGCCAGCAGGACGGAAGGGACAACCUGGAGACAAAGGGCAUCGAGGGUUGCCAGGUCCAGAGGGGUCAAAGGGCAAUGUAGGAGAAAGAGGAAACCAAGGGGAGCUGGGACAUUCAGGACC